GAUGAACGCUGGCGGCGUGCCUAAUACAUGCAAGUCGAGCGAACAGACGAGGAGCUUGCUCCUCAGACGUUAGCGGCGGACGGGUGAGUAACACGUGGAUAACCUGCCUAUAAGACUGGGAUAACUUCGGGAAACCGGAGCUAAUACCGGAUAAUAUAUUGAACCGCAUGGUUCAAUAGUGAAAGACGGUUUUGCUGUCACUUAUAGAUGGAUCCGCGCCGCAUUAGCUAGUUGGUAAGGUAACGGCUUACCAAGGCAACGAUGCGUAGCCGACCUGAGAGGGUGAUCGGCCACACUGGAACUGAGACACGGUCCAGACUCCUACGGGAGGCAGCAGUAGGGAAUCUUCCGCAAUGGGCGAAAGCUUGACGGAGCAACGCCGCGUGAGUGAUGAAGGUCUUCGGAUCGUAAAACUCUGUUAUUAGGGAAGAACAAAUGUGUAAGUAACUAUGCACGUCUUGACGGUACCUAAUCAGAAAGCCACGGCUAACUACGUG
rnacentral:rRNA from 1 species